GAAAGACAUCUGUCCGCGACUUUUACGCCAAAGGAGAUCUGCUCUGUGGAGUCAGCAGUCUUUUUGGUUCUCAGUCUUUCAGAGAGCGUGAGGGCGUUCAAGUACGGAGAGGAGAGACUGCGGACCCCCGCGGAGCCUCUCCCAGCAACCGGAUCUGAAUGCUCAGGAGAAUGGGAAAAUCCCGGAUCACGAGGACGCCAGGCUUUCCUGUGACCCGGCUGCAGCCGGGAGGUGGGUCUGAAAGAGCCUCGUGUACCAGGGACCAGGCUCUCUGGGCCGGAGGGAAAGUCUCCCAAGUUCAAUAACAGCGUGUGGUGGCGGGGGACCGAGACGUCGGCUGGUCCAUGAGCUAGAAUGCAAAAACUGGCAUCCUUCUAGUUUCCGAUUAGAUGAAAACUUCGCAAGAAUAGAAAAGAGACACCCCUCGCUCCCCCCCCCCCAGGAUUGUUCGGUUUCUCCCUUAUUUUUAUAAAGCCCACGUAUUUCAUAAA